GUGCCAGCAGCCGCGGUAAUACGUAGGGUGCGAGCGUUGUCCGGAAUUACUGGGCGUAAAGAGCUCGUAGGUGGUUUGUCGCGUCGCCUGUGAAAUUCCGGGGCUUAACUUCGGGCGUGCAGGCGAUACGGGCAUAACUUGAGUGCUGUAGGGGAGACUGGAAUUCCUGGUGUAGCGGUGAAAUGCGCAGAUAUCAGGAGGAACACCGAUGGCGAAGGCAGGUCUCUGGGCAGUUACUGACGCUGAGGAGCGAAAGCAUGGGUAGCAAACAGGAUUAGAUACCCUGGUAGUCCAUGCCGUAAACGGUGGGCGCUAGGUGUAGGGGGCUUCCACGUCUUCUGUGCCGUAGCUAACGCAUUAAGCGCCCCGCCUGGGGAGUACGGCCGCAAGGCUAAAACUCAAAGGAAUUGACGGGGGCCCGCACAAGCGGCGGAGCAUGUGGAUUAAUUCGAUGCAACGCGAAGAACCUUACCUGGGCUUGACAUACACCAGAUUGCUGCAGAGAUGUAGUGUCCCUUGUGGUUGGUGUACAGGUGGUGCAUGGUUGUCGUCAGCUCGUGUCGUGAGAUGUUGGGUUAAGUCCCGCAACGAGCGCAACCCUUGUCUUAUGUUGCCAGCAUUUGGUUGGGGACUCAUGAGAGACUGCCGGGGUUAACUCGGANGAAGGUGGGGAUGACGUCAAAAUCAUCAUGCCCCCUUAUGUCCAGGGCUUCACACAUGCUACAAUGGUCGGUACAACGCGCAGCGACCCUGUGGGGGUGGAGCGAAUCGCUGAAAGCC
rnacentral:rRNA from 1 species